rnacentral:rRNA from 1 species
UACGUAGGGGGGCAAGCGUUGUCCGGAAUCAUUGGGCGUAAAGCGCGUGUAGGCGGCCCGGUAAGUCCGCUGUGAAAGUCGGGGGCUCAACCCUCGAAUGCCGGUGGAUACUGUCGGGCUAGAGUGCGGGAGAGGCGAGUGGAAUUCCUGGUGUAGCGGUGAAAUGCGCAGAUAUCAGGAGGAACACCAAUUGCGAAGGCAGCUCUCUGGGACGGUACUGACGCUGAGACGCGAAAGCGUGGGGAGCGAACAGG